rnacentral:rRNA from 1 species
CAACAGGGAUUGCCCUAGUAACGGCGAGUGAAGCGGCAACAGCUCAAAUUUGAAAUCUGGCUUCGGCCCGAGUUGUAAUUUGUAGAGGAUGCUUUUGGUGCGGUGCCUUCUGAGUUCCCUGGAACGGGACGCCAUAGAGGGUGAGAGCCCCGUAUAGUUGGACACCUAGCCUCUGUAAAGCUCCUUCGACGAGUCGAGUAGUUUGGGAAUGCUGCUCAAAAUGGGAGGUAAAUGCCUUCUAAAGCUAAAUACUGGCCAGAGACCGAUAGCGCACAAGUAGAGUGAUCGAAAGAUGAAAAGCACUUUGAAAAGAGGGUUAAACAGCACGUGAAAUUGUUGAAAGGGAAGCGCUUGUGACCAGACUUGCGCCAGGUGGAUCAUCCAGCGUUCUCGCUGGUGCACUCUGCCUGGUUCAGGCCAGCAUCGGUUUUCUCAGUGGGAUAAAGGCUCUGGGAAUGUAGCUCCUCCGGGAGUGUUAUAGCCCGUUGCACAAUACCUCUGAGGGGACCGAGGUUCGCGCUCUGCAAGGAUGCUGGCGUAAUGGUCAUCAGCGGCCCGUCUUGAAACACGGACCAAGGAGUCAAGCAUUAGGGCGAGUGUUUGGGUGCAAAACCCGCACGCGUAAUGAAAGUGAACGUAGGUGAGAGCUUCGGCGCAUCAUCGACCGAUCCUGAUGUAUUCGGAUGGAUUUGAGUAAGAGCCUUACCGCUUGGACCCGAAAGAUGGUGAACUAUGCUUGUAUAGGGUGAAGCCAGAGGAAACUCUGGUGGAGGCUCGCAGCGGUUCUGACGUGCAAAUCGAUCGUCAAAUAUGAGCAUGGGGGCGAAAGACUAAUCGAAC